rnacentral:misc_RNA from 1 species
GAAAUGCGAUAAGUAAUGUGAAUUGCAGAAUUCCGUGAAUCAUCAAAUCUUUGAACGCAAAUUGCACUCCUUGGUAUUCCGAGGAGUAUGCUUGUUUGAGGGUUGUUCCAAUAAAAUCGUUUUUUUAAAAGACGGAUCUGAGUUUUCCGAUUUUGGUAACUUUAAAUUUAUCUUAACGAUAUCUUUGGUAUGAUAUUGGAAAUGGAUAUAUUCUUACAUAUUGUGAGUUUCAUUAACAAUCGAUUACCUGUCGUUACGUCGUAUCAUUUGCCUGAUCCUUUCGAUUGGGUUCUAUGAUACAAAUUUUCUUUCAACACCUCAAGUCAAGUAAGAAUACCCGCUGAACUUAA